AUCAGCCUCCCAGCUACAGACACACGCCCAGGCUCUCUUAAAAUGCUGAUUCGUUGAAAUUCGCCCAUCUUGGCCGUGCGGAGCCGAAAAUUUCAUAUUUUUCCUGUGAAUCAGCCCCAUUCCCUGAAAUAACAGCCCAAAAAGAGAGGGGAAAUAGUCUUGCACUGAGCUGUUCCUGGUCAUGCUAGACAUAACAGCCCGGGGGGGCGGGCAAGGUGUCCCCGUGCCCUGGCUCCCCCUGGGCUGGACACGGCGGCACCGGGCACCCGGAGGUGCUGGGGGGGCUCCCGAUAGAGCAGGGCAAGGCCCCGUGUCCCCAAAGCACGCAGGACCCCACUGUCCCCUCCGGACCCCGCCAAGAAAAGGUUUUCACCCCCUUUCCUUGCUGGAAAGAAGGUGGGAAGGAGCAUCCCCUACGGCGGUGCCACUGAAAACCCGGCUCGCUGGGGACGCAGAGGGGAGAAAAAUCACAACAACGGGGGGAAAAGGGGAAUUUCCAGGCACUUGGUUUAGGAUUUUUUCUCUUCUCCCCAUGGCAGUGGCUCCCUCUCCCCCGGCACUGAUGCGAGCAGCCCCACAGAGCCGUGCAAACGCUGCACGACACGUGCUGGUAUUUCUUCAGCGGGAAGGGCUGCGAGCGCACAGCACCACUGCCUGGGGCUGCAGGUCCCCGAGCUGCAAGGUGUGCACAUUGGGAGGGGGUCCUGGAGCCCAGGUGAGGGCGUUCAGCCCAUUUGUGGGCAAAUCUCACCCAAAUUGGGGCCCAGGUGCCACCAGUCUGUAAGGGCUUGAAAGCAGCCCGGGGCUGCAAGCAUCCUCCCAGCGCGCAGGAGGAGGGUGAUGGUGAGCUCGUGGCACCCUUGGGGGCUGGAGGAGGAUGGGGAAGCAGGGAGCAGUGGUACCGGGGUACCCACGCCAGAAACCCCAUUUGUAGCUGGGGUUUCUCCUUGCCCACACCUGGCAGGGGUUUGUGCUCUUUUGGGGUGGUUUGCAGGGUUUCUGGAUGCACAAGACCUGGGGACCUGUCCCACCGCGCCUGUGGAACCACCAGGCGGGAUGGGGGGGGUCCCGUGGCAGUAAUGUGGGGUGACCAUUUGGGGAGGGGGUGUCUGGCUGUAGGGUCUGUGCUGCAGGCUGGGGGUUAGGGCCAAGGUGGGUCCUCCCCAUUAUUUCUUUGACUGGGACGUGCUCGGAUCCCAUCUGCGAAGUCGACCAUGAUUAAUUGGCAGUUAAUCAACCUGCACGAUGGAUGCUGCACCUCUGGCAUCCACAGGCCAUGGUGAGCCCUGCACGGAGGAGGGGGGGCGCCCGCAGCAGGUUUGGGGCCACCCUUUCUACAGCCCAGCAGCGCAAUGACCCCAAUAACCACUGCCCGGCCAGACACAGAGCCGCAGCCUGCGGGGACACAGUCAGAUACGGGGCCGUUUGCACUGACAUUAACCUGCUGCCACCAACCCGUGGGGCUCCAAACCUGCACCCGGUAGGAGGGAAAAAAAAAAAAAGUGAUGGCGAAGAUGAAGACGAGAGAAGACGCCAGGAGCCUGUUUCGCUUUAGGGUGACAAUAAAAGCUAGCGCUACCAGGA